rnacentral:tRNA from 2 species
UCCCCGGUAGCUCAGUCGGUAGAGCGGACGGCUGUUAACCGUCAUGUCGCUGGUUCGAAUCCGGCCCGGGGAGCCA